UCAGAAAUCAAUGAAAUAAUCCACCCAC
rnacentral:sRNA from 1 species